ACAUAUCCUUUAUUUCCGUCUCUUUUCCCUGACCACUAGAUCCUUCUCCACUGCGACUUAUGAAUUGCCAAGGUUCCUUUCAUGAGACUUGGGUUCCAUCUGACACCAUCCUAAUGAGGAACAGUUGGUAAAGUGCAGUUUGAGAUGCCAUUUGGAAACAGGCCCACUCUCAGUCCUCAUCUAGAAAGAGAGAGAAAGAAGUCCAGGGCAUCAGAUGACUACCCUGGAUGGGAUACAGGGAUAGCAGGACUGCUCCUGCCUCUGACUCCAUCCCAAAGGUCUUUGGAACAUCCCCUGGGCUCUCUCUCGGAUCAUUUCCUCUUCUGAAAUGUGCCCAUCUAGGCUGAUUGGGAACUCCCAGCUGAAAACCCCUAAUGAACGACAAAGAUUUAAUGGCAUAAAUUUGUUCAUCAGAAAUCAAUUUCCAGGAAAUGUGUCCUUAAGCAUCUCCUCAAUGUCCCAACACUUUUAUAUACUGGGUUUCCAUAGGCAUGGACAUAAAGAGUCCCUGAUCUCUAUAAAGUUACAGUCGGGAAGAAUUAGGGACAGAGGCCACAACUUCCUCCACAGAAGGUUCUUAGCAUCAUCAGGAAGAAUUCAAACACAAAGAAUGGGUCUUCUCAACAUGGAAGGAGCUUGCUCUAAGUAAAACCCAUCCUGGCCUACACGAACCUGAUGAUUUCUGGUUUUCUCUCAUUUUUUUCAAUGGGCCUAAGUGUUGACAGUGGAAGAUGACCCAGAAGUGGCAGGUGUCACACAGAUGGGA
rnacentral:lncRNA from 1 species